rnacentral:rRNA from 1 species
CUUAAUCCUAAAGGGUGUGAAAUAAGCAUAAUCGGAUACCGUUUAAUUGGCGGAGUGUUGAAUGGACUCACGAGUGCAAAGCUGUCUUGGGCCAAGCCUAAAUGAAAUAGAUGUAGAAGUGAAGACGCUUCUUUAGCUAAUUAGACGAAAAGACCCCGUGAAGCUUAACUAUAAGCUAGUUAAUUGGAAGGUUAGGCUUAUCUAGAGGCUGUAUGUGCCGUAUAAUAAGCCACUUAGCCUAUCUCCCUAGCUAGCUUGGUAGUUUUGGUGGGGUGCCAGCGCGUUAAAUAGAACAUGGAGUUGAUUAGGCUAAAGCUUAAUAGCCUAGUGGAAGUGACAUCUUUACACAGGGUAAAAUUACGGUAAAAUGACCCGCCUAAGAUCAUGAUUUCUAUAGACGACAAAGGAUAAUAGCUACUCCGGGGAUAACAGG